UGAGGAAUAUUGCGCAAUGGAGGAAACUCUGACGCAGCAAUACCGCGUGAGCGAUGAAGUCUCUAGGGAUGUAAAGCUCUGUCAAGUGGGAAGAUAAUGACGGUACCACUAAAGGAAGCUCCGGCUAACUACGUGCCAGCAGCCGCGGUAAUACGUAGGGAGCGAGCGUUAUCCGGAAUUACUGGGCUUAAAGUGCAUGUAGGCGGUAAAUUAAGUCAGGUGUCAAAUCCAUCAGCUCAACUGAUGUACGCACUUGAUACUGGUUUACUAGAGGCUAAUAGAGGGAAGUGGAACUCAUGGUGUAGCGGUGAAAUGCGUAGAUAUCAUGAGGAACCCCAGUGACGAAGGUGACUUCCUGGAUUAUGCCUGACGCUGAGAUGCGAAAGCGUGGGGAGCGAACG
rnacentral:rRNA from 1 species